rnacentral:rRNA from 1 species
UACGGAAGGUGCAAGCGUUGUUCGGAAUGACUGGGCGUAAAGCGCACGUAGGCGGUCUUGCAAGUCGGAUGUGAAAGCCCCAGGCUCAACCUGGGAACUGCAUCCGAAACUGCUUGACUUGAAUGCUUGAGAGGUUGGUGGAAUUCCAGGUGUAGGAGUGAAAUCCGUAGAUAUCUGGAGGAACAUCGGAGGCGAAGGCGGCCAACUGGCGAUGCAUUGACGCUAAGGUGCGAAAGCGCGGGGAGCAAACAGG